UGGCCUGCGCCUCGAGCCUCAUCUUCUUGGAGCCACUCAGGCGGUCCUCACCCCGGAACCGCUGGUGGGGUCUCAGCACCUGCGCCAGGCGGAUUCCUUACCACCUAGCCACCAGAGGAGCCCAGGGAGAAUGAAGGAAGAAGGUAAAUGAGUGCCGUGACUUGGGUCCUCAGGCCCCAGGACACAGGGCGCACCUGCUGGGCAAGGAAAGUGGGGAGAGAAGGGCCCACCCCCUCACCUGCACAUCGCCCUGCAAGCCCUGGAGGAGCUGCUUCUGAAAGGCGCAGGUGGCAGCCACCAGGGGCUUCUCCAGCUCUCCAAAGCUUUCUGGGAACUUGGCCAGAAGGAUUUCCUGGCUAAGCAGUCGGCGGAGCGUGCCCUGAAAGCAUAAAGAUGGCAGUCCGGAUGGACCUCGACCAGUUUGCUUCGGGAAUGACCUCCACCCUCUCGCUCGGGGUUCACCCAAGAUUGAGCUCUAAACGCCCCCAGGACCUUGCAGUUCAGGGUCCAGAUAGGAUCCAGCCCACACCGGGGCGUGUUCCUGUCUGCAGCCACACGGAAUAUUAAGGAGCCCAGCACGUUGGCGCCCCUUCCAACUGCCCGUCUGCCUCGUGAGGUGGGGAGCGCUCAGGUGGACGGGGGACCCACCCCAUCACUUUCUGAAGAGCCCUGAACCGAGGUGUCCAUCCAAAGCAAGAGUGGGGGUGAAAGCCAGCCCUCAAGGA